CCAGCCAUUCCCCAGGAGAGGCUUCUGAACACCAUACUGCCCAGACUUGGCAUUCCCAGAGCAACUCCACCACCCCAGUCUGUGUCUAGAGAACUCUAUAUACACACUUUCCUCCAGGCCAGAGUUACUAGAAGUCUGGCUUCCCUAACAAUAGCUUAGAUUCCUGACGGACACCGGAGCUGCUGAAUGGGGAGGAGCAGAGGUAAGCGGAACCUUGGGGCUGGGAGAGCUCAGUGCAGACACAGAAACUUGAGCCUGUGAAGACCCCCAAGCUGCCAGCCAGAUGACCAUGUCUCCCACCAGACCUGUCAGCUCCAUCUUUCUCACACUUGCUUUAUUAUUAUUUUUCUCCCCCAUCUUAAAACUUCCAGUAUUUCUGCAUGGAUGGGUUUUCCAGCCAGGCAGAUGGAAGUAGUAUCACUCAACAAAUCCCACAUACUUCCAGGGCCACUGGUCUGGGGCAAGGGAUGAAGGGUCCUUGGUGCUGGGACAGGAGAGAUCGUGGGGAUUACGGACUGUUCCUAAAGCCCUCCAGCCCAGAGGCCCAGGCCACUUUGCAGUGUGUGGGCUGGUUUCCUGCCUGGAACAGCAGAGCC
rnacentral:lncRNA from 1 species